AAUAAAACUUCACAAUGUAUAAUUAGCUCAUCCGUCAUUUCGCUUCUUCCAUCUCAUUUGCUUAUGAGAACACUGUAGUGUCGACAGGCAAAAUGCCUCUGCAGUAACAAAGCAAAAAGGAGCUUAGAUCUGCGAUCUCCAUGUUUGUUGUUUAUGUUCAACAUGGAUAAACUGGAAUACUUUAAGGUGGGAUAUAGUUAACUCCAAGUGACAUAGACAAUAUUGUCAAAAGUAUU